UACAGAGGUCUCAAGCGUUGUUCGGAUUUAUUGUGCGUAAAGGGCGCGUAGGCGGCGGGGUAAGUCGGGUGUGAAAUCUCAGGGCUCAACCCUGAAACUGCACUUGAUACUGCUCUGCUUGAGGACUGGAGAGGAGACUGGAAUUCACGGUGUAGCAGUGAAAUGCGUAGAUAUCGUGAGGAAGACCAGUGGCGAAGGCGGGUCUCUGGACAGUUCCUGACGCUGAGGCGCGAAGGCCAGGGGAGCAAACGGG
rnacentral:rRNA from 1 species